CGCCAAUGAUGAUAAAUCCUAAGGCUUGUUUCUCUAAACAUUCGCAGUGGCCGCCCAAGAGCUUUCGCCUUCGCCAGGCUAGAGAGCUAAUGCUGCUAUUAUCCUUCCUUGGAUGUCUGAGGUC
rfam:Glycine soja cultivar W05 scaffold975_28, whole genome shotgun sequence.